ensembl:misc_RNA
AAAAGAACUCUAUAAAACAUAAGAUGGCAAAGAGGUGGAAUAAAAAUUGAUGCUAGCAGUUCAGCUUUGCCUAA